rnacentral:tRNA from 2 species
GGAAGGUAGCCGGAUACGGUUUGCCGGACCGCACUGCUAAUGCGUGUGCCUGCCAGGCGUGUGGGUUCGAAUCCCAUGCCUUCCG